rnacentral:rRNA from 1 species
CAAGUAAUUAAGUGCAUGUGGUGGAUGCCUUGGCAGUCAGAGGCGAUGAAAGACGUGAUAGCCUGCGAAAAGCUCCGGGGAGGCGGCAAAUAUCCUUUGAUCCGGAGAUGUCUGAAUGGGGGAACCCACCUACUUUAAGGUAGGUAUUGCAACAUGAAUACAUAGUGUUGCAAGGCGAACGAGGGGAAGUGAAACAUCUCAGUACCCUUAGGAAAAGAAAUCAAUUGAGAUUCCCUCAGUAGCGGCGAGCGAACGGGGAUCAGCCCAUUAAGUUAUGUGUGUUUUAGUGGAACGCUCUGGGAAGUGCGAACGUAGAGGGUGAUAUUCCCGUACACGAAAGGGCACACAUAAUGAUGACGAGUAGGGCGAGGCACGUGAAACCUUGUCUGAAUAUGGGGGGACCAUCCUCCAAGGCUAAAUACUCCUGACUGACCGAUAGUGAACCAGUACCGUGAGGGAAAGGCGAAAAGAACCCCUGUGAGGGGAGUGAAAUAGAUCCUGAAACCGCAUGCAUACAAGCAGUGGGAGCACCUUCGUGGUGUGACUGCGUACCUUUUGUAUAAUGGGUCAGCGACUUAUAUUCAGUAGCGAGGUUAACCGUAUAGGGGAGCCGUAGAGAAAUCGAGUCUUAAUAGGGCGUUUAGUUGCUGGGUAUAGACCCGAAACCAGGCGAUCUAUCCAUGAGCAGGUUGAAGGUUGGGUAACACUAACUGGAGGACCGAACCCACUGUCGUUGAAAAGCCAGGGGAUGACUUGUGGAUAGGGGUGAAAGGCUAAUCAAGCCUGGUGAUAGCUGGUUCUCCCCGAAAGCUAUUUAGGUAGCGCCUCGGACGAAUACCAUAGGGGGUAGAGCACUGUUUCGGCUAGGGGGUCAUCCCGACUUACCAAACCGAUGCAAACUCCGAAUACCUAUGAGUACUAUCCGGGAGACAGACUGCGGGUGCUAACGUCCGUAGUCAAGAGGAAAACAAUCCAGACCGCCAGCUAAGGCCCCAAAAUCAUAGUUAAGUGGGAAACGAUGUGGGAAGGCAUAGACAGCUAGGAGGUUGGCUUAGAAGCAGCCACCCUUUAAAGAAAGCGUAAUAGCUCACUAGUCGAGUCGGCCUGCGCGGAAGAUGUAACGGGGCUAAAACUAUGUGCCGAAGCUGCGGAUGUAUACUUUGUAUACGUGGUAGGGGAGCGUUCUGUAAGCCGAUGAAGGUGUGUUGAGAAGCAUGCUGGAGGUAUCAGAAGUGCGAAUGCUGACGUGAGUAACGACAAAACGGGUGAAAAACCCGUUCGCCGAAAGACCAAGGGUUCCAGUCCAACGUUAAUCGGGGCUGGGUGAGUCGACCCCUAAGGCGAGGCCGAAAGGCGUAGUCGAUGGGAAAAUGGUUAAUAUUCCAUUACUUCUGUGUAAUGCGAUGAGAGGACGGAGAAGGCUAAAUCAGCCUGGCGUUGGUUGUCCAGGUGAAAGGAUGUAGGCAUGUAUCUUAGGCAAAUCCGGGGUACUCUAUGCUGAGAUCUGAUAGCAAGCUGUACUUGUACAGCGAAGUGGUUGAUGCCAUGCUUCCAGGAAAAGUCUCUAAGCUUCAGUUACACAGGAAUCGUACCCGAAACCGACACAGGUGGUCAGGUCGAGUAGACCAAGGCGCUUGAGAGAACUCUGCUGAAGGAACUAGGCAAAAUGGUACCGUAACUUCGGGAGAAGGUACGCUGUUGUUGGUGAUGGAACUCGCUUCCUGAGCUGACGACAGCCGCAGAAACCAGGCCGCUGCAACUGUUUAUUAAAAACAUAGCACUCUGCAAACACGAAAGUGGACGUAUAGGGUGUGAUGCCUGCCCGGUGCUGGAAGGUUAAUUGAUGGGGUUAGCGUAAGCGAAGCUCUUGAUCGAAGCCCCAGUAAACGGCGGCCGUAACUAUAACGGUCCUAAGGUAGCGAAAUUCCUUGUCGGGUAAGUUCCGACCUGCACGAAUGGCAUAAUGAUGGCGGCGCUGUCUCCAGCAGAGGCUCAGUGAAAUCGAAAUCGCUGUGAAGAUGCAGUGUACCCGCGGCUAGACGGAAAGACCCCGUGAACCUUUACUGCAGCUUGACACUGAACUUUGACCUUACUUGUGUAGGAUAGGUGGGAGGCUUUGAAGCUGGAACGCUAGUUCCAGUGGAGCCGUCCUUGAAAUACCACCCUGGUAAUGUUGAGGUUCUAACUCUGUCCCGUGAUCCGGGACGAGGACCGUGUCUGGUGGGUAGUUUGACUGGGGCGGUCUCCUCCUAAAGAGUAACGGAGGAGUACGAAGGUGCGCUCAGCGUGGUCGGAAAUCACGCGUAGAGUAUAAAGGCAAAAGCGCGCUUAACUGCGAGACCCACAAGUCGAGCAGGUACGAAAGUAGGUCUUAGUGAUCCGGUGGUUCUGUAUGGAAGGGCCAUCGCUCAACGGAUAAAAGGUACUCUGGGGAUAACAGGCUGAUACCGCCCAAGAGUUCAUAUCGACGGCGGUGUUUGGCACCUCGAUGUCGGCUCAUCUCAUCCUGGGGCUGAAGCAGGUCCCAAGGGUAUGGCUGUUCGCCAUUUAAAGAGGUACGCGAGCUGGGUUUAGAACGUCGUGAGACAGUUCGGUCCCUAUCUACCGUGGGCGCUGGAAAUUUGAGAGGAUCUGCUCCUAGUACGAGAGGACCAGAGUGGACGAACCUCUGGUGUACCGGUUGUGACGCCAGUCGCAUCGCCGGGUAGCUAUGUUCGGAAGGGAUAACCGCUGAAAGCAUCUAAGCGGGAAGCCUACCUCAAGAUAAGAUUUCCCUAGGACUUUAUGUCCUCUAAAGAGCCGUUCGAGACUAGGACGUUGAUAGGUUGGAUGUGGAAGCAUAGUGAUAUGUGAAGCUUACCAAUACUAAUUGCUCGUGAGGCUUGACUA